rnacentral:rRNA from 1 species
GACGAACGCUGGCGGCGUGCUUAACACAUGCAAGUCGAACGGUAAGGCCCUUCGGGGUACACGAGUGGCGAACGGGUGAGUAACACGUGGGUGAUCUGCCCUGCACUUCGGGAUAAGCCUGGGAAACUGGGUCUAAUACCGGAUAGGACUCCUGGCUUCAUGGUUGGGGGUGGAAAGCUUUUGCGGUGUGGGAUGGGCCCGCGGCCUAUUAGCUUGUUGGGGGGGUAAUGGCCUACCAAGGCGAAGACGGGUCGCCGGGUUGAGAGGGUGACCAGUCACACUGGGACUGGGAGACGGCCCAGACUCCGACGGGAGGCAGGAGUGGGGAAUAUUGCACAAUGGGCGCAAGCCUGAUGCAGCGACGCCGCGUGAGGGAUGACGGCCUUCGGGUUGUAAACCUCUUUCAGCUAUGACGAAGCGCAAGUGACGGUAGUAGCAGAAGAAGGACCGGCCAACUACAUGCCAGCAGCCGCGGUAA